GUACACGAUCAAUGCCAGAUGGAACAAGGCCCUGGCUGAAUUAUGGAGCAUAUUGAACAGUGAUGUGUUCGUGUUUUCUGCAUUGCAAUGUUAAAGGUGGCACGCAUGCACCAUAUCAUGCCUCAGAUUGCUUACACGAUCGACAGCGGUGUCUAUUGCUAUAUUUAGCAUGAAAAACAAGAAAAAGAGAAAUAUAUCACCA
rnacentral:sRNA from 1 species